GAAGGUAUAGCUCAGUGGUAGAGCCUGUGCUUAGCAGGUAUGAGGUCCUGGGUUCAAUCUCCAGCACCUCUG
rfam:Camelus ferus unplaced genomic scaffold scaffold265, whole genome shotgun sequence.